GUGUCACCACCUUGCAGCCAAAAAAGAAAAAUGAACAUUGGAACAUACAGACAUUUUUGGGCAACACAGAUAGCGAACACCCUGAAUGCAGUACUGCUAUUAUUGCAAGGGAGCUGAGAUGCUUUAACAUCGAUAUAGCAGCACUUCAAAAGACCCAGAGAGCAGGAGAGGGAAAGCUGAAGAAAGAAAAAGGAGGCUACACUUUCUUCUGCCUGAAGGGACUGCCUGAAGGAGAACAAAUAAUACACUGAGUUGGCUUUGAUAUCAGAAACAACCUGGGUGGGUUCUUGCGUCUCACCAAAUGUGCAGGACAUAACCUUGUCAUCACAAAUACAUUCUUAACAAGCUUAAGAAAUCAUGGAAGUACCCCUGGUCAAUGCAUUGGCACAUUUUAGACAAUGUAAUUAUACAUGCCAGAGACCUCCAUGAUGUGCUUCUCACAAGAGCCAUAACAGAUGCUGGUGACUGCUGGAUAGGCUACAGGUUAAUUUGAUCAGUGAUGACCAUCAAGAUUGCAGACUUCAAGGAAGAAAGAAAAGGGGCAAAAUGAACACCCAAGCCCUCCAACAGCCUUCAAAAUGAGCCCUUCUCCAAGCAACACUCAAGGAUCAUCUACCCAUAGAACACCCUGAAAAUGUUGAGGAACAUUGGAAUAACCUGAAGACAUCUCUCAUCAUAGCCUGUGAAGAAACCUUUGGAUACUAAACCUAGAAACACUAAGACUGGUUUGAUGAAAAUGAUACUGAGGUCCAACAAUUAAUUUGUUAACUUCCAAAUAUGGCAGAGAGACACCAACUGUGCUGCUAAGAAAAAGAUAUAUGCCAGUUCAGAAGCUGAGGUUCUAAGUAGGACCAGAGAACUCAAGAACACAUGAUGUACAAAUAAGCCUCAAGAAAUACAACACUUUGCAAACAUCCAUGAUGCAUGAGGAUUCUUUAAUGUUACAAAGCUCAUCUAUGGUCCAAAAAAUCAUGGCAUACACCCUCUACAUUCAUCAGAUGGAACCAAACUUCUGAAGGAUAAAAAAUCAAUUGCACUACAUUGGAAAGAGUACUAUCAUAACCCCCUUAACCACAGAUCCAAUGUGGUCAAAGAGAUUCUCUCACAAAUCCUGCAACAACAAACCAGGGAUGAGCUUGCAGCACUGCCUAGUUUGGAGGAAGUCAGCAGAAUUGUUAAAAUAACCUUGAAUAUGAAAGCAACAUGGAAUCUUUUGGUGCUUGCAUGAAACAGUCAAGCAGCUUCAAACAAAAGAAUACAAAAUUAUACCUCUAAAAUUUAAGGGCUGCAAUUAUGAGAUUCAGAAAUUUAUCUUGGAAAUGAUAGACAUAGUUGGCUUUGUUUUAAAAUGCAUCUGACACAGUCACCCCAUAUUGAAUUCUUUCUGUCUUAGAGGAUGGCUGACAAGAAGGACACUCAUUCCUUUGGGCAAUUUGAGAACACUGUGACAUCUAAAAUAAAUUUUGUGAAUGUCACUGAGAAAGCAAGGAGAAAGCAAAUGUGUGCACAUUUUUUGUUACUAAAAUGCUCUGCCAUUAAAAAAUAAAAAAAAAUCAAUAAAGCUACAUGCCAGUAAGUUUAGAUAGAAACCCCUUCUCAACCUCAAUGCCUUUUCAGGUCUCACCUGCACCAUAGAAUACUGCAUAUGUCUACAAUUCCUCAUGUGCAAUGUUUCUAAUCUCCUAACAUAGCUAACAAUGGACCGUUCUACACUUGCUGUAAAACCCAGAAGUAACUGGGUUAAGCGGGGGGGGGGGGGGGGUAGCUAAGCAACGUUUAGCCAAAGUGUGGAAGUGAUCAGGUUUAGAACUAAAGAGCAUAUGUUAAAAAGGUGCAUUUAAAACCUGAUUCCGCCU
ensembl:lncRNA